rnacentral:rRNA from 1 species
CGUAGGGUGCGAGCGUUGUCCGGAAUUACUGGGCGUAAAGAGCUCGUAGGUGGUUUGUCACGUCGUCUGUGAAAUUCCGGGGCUUAACCUCGGGCGUGCAGGCGAUACGGACAAUACUUGAGUGCUGUAGGGGAGACUGGAAUUCCUGGUGUAGUGGUGAAAUGCGCAGAUAUCAGGAGGAACACCAAUGGCGAAGGCAGGUCUCUGGGCAGUCACUGACGCUGAGGAGCGAAAGCAUGGGUAGCGAACAGGAUUA